CCUUGUACACACCGCCCGUCACACCAUGAAAGUUGGUUUUUAUCAGAAGUCGUCUGGUUAACCGUAAGGAUGCCAGCGCCCAAGGUAAGACCGAUGAUUGGGGUG
rnacentral:rRNA from 1 species